GCCAGGUGUGGUGGCUCACGCCUGUAAUCCCAACAUUGUGGGAGGCCGAGGUGGGUGGAUCACCUGAGGUCAGGAGUUUGAGACCAGCCUGACCAACAUGGUGAAACCCCGUCUCUA
ensembl:misc_RNA Metazoa_SRP Metazoan signal recognition particle RNA